rnacentral:rRNA from 1 species
UACGUAGGGGGCUAGCGUUGUCCGGAUUUAUUGGGCGUAAAGAGCGUGUAGGCGGCCAGGUAGGUCUGCUGUGAAAACUCGGGGCUUAACUCCGGGCCUGCAGUGGGUACGGGCAGACUAGAGUGCGGUAGGGGAGACUGGAAUUCCUGGUGUAGCGGUGAAAUGCGCAGAUAUCAGGAGGAACACCGGUGGCGAAGGCGGGACUCUGGGCCGAUACUGACGCUGAGGAGCGAAAGCGUGGGGAGCAAACAGG